AGCGAACGCUGGCGGCAGGCUUAACACAUGCAAGUCGAGCGCCGUAGCAAUACGGAGCGGCAGACGGGUGAGUAACACGUGGGAACGUACCUUUUGGUUCGGAACAACACAGGGAAACUUGUGCUAAUACCGGAUAAGCCCUUACGGGGAAAGAGUUAUCACCGAAAGAUCGGCCCGCGUCUGAUUAGCUAGUUGGUGAGGUAACUGCUCACCAAGGCGACGAGCAGUAGCUGGUCUGAGAGGAUGAUCAGACACACUGGGACUGAUACACGGCCAAGACUCCGACGGGAGGCAGCAGUGGGGAAUAUUGGACAAUGUGCGCAAGACUGAUCCAGCCAUGCCGCGUGAGUGAUGAAGGCCCUAGGGUUGUAAAGCUCUUUUGUGCGGGAAGAUAAUGACUGUACCGCAAGAAUAAGCCCCGGCUAACUUCGUGCCAGCCGCCGCCGUAA
rnacentral:rRNA from 1 species